rnacentral:rRNA from 1 species
AUGGACGAGCACGAGCGUCCAUUGGCCACCGCCAUGAGCAGGGCACCGGAUGGUCGUCGCGCCAUCUGGAAGAUCAUAUGGGGGUGCCCUGCUCCCCCUAAGGUACGCGUGUUUGCGUGGAGGGUUGUCACAAAUUCACUUGCUACUUGGGCCAACAAGGCUUCACGACACCUCGAGGAUACUGACGUCUGCCCCCUAUGUGGUGUUGAACGCGAGGACGGAUUCCACGCGCUUUGCAGGUGCCCACUGGCAAGGGAGCUAUGGAGACUCAUGGCGAUGGACUGGAACAUACCCAAGGUGGAGACCAUCCGGGACAUGGGGCCAGAGUGGCUAUUCGCCUUGUUGGAACCCCUGGAUGAGACGGCGAGGAUGCAACAUCCGCAGGCCAAUAUGGAGAAGGGGAAGAUGGUGGUUUGUGAUGGCCCGCCGGGCGUGCAGCCCUGCAGGAUAGCGACGGCGCGGCCAACCACAGGAGCAGCAGGAGGAGGCAUGAUCCUUCGAGAUGAUGGAGGGGAUAUCAUCUAUAGCGCGUGCAGAGAAAUUCGCACGUGUGAGAGUGCGCUGGAGGCGGAGCUCUCGGCGUGUAGAGAAGGCCUAGACCUUGCCUUACACAGGACAACGAUGCCUAUCAUUGUUGAGAUGGAUAGUGCGGAGGCUGUGGUGAUGCUCAAAGCACCCACAACAGAUAGAUCGCAGCACCGGUCUCUCAUUGAAGAGAUUAGCAGUCUAGCAGCCCUUGAGGAUAGAGAGGUUGUAUUUGCACAGUGUAGCCAUUGGCAGAACAACGCUAGUCAUGUGUUGGCUGCAUAUGGGCGUAGUACCCCCCGCACGGCAGUCUGGUUUGCAGGAGGGCCGGAAUUUCUUGUAGUCUGGAAGCGGAUGCGGAUUGUGAGGUCCGCAAAGCUGCAUAUCAGUGAUGGAACCGCGUCAAGAUCGGAUGAGGAGGUGAUUCGUUAUUUUUCUUCUCUUGGUGGUUGUUGUGAUGGUGCCGGAGACAGAAAAAGAAAGAACACAUCCAUUCUUCAAGGGAGGGAUACUCUAGCUCAUCGACUCAUCCGCACGAUAGAUAAUGGAGAGACUACUGAAAGGCUUCCCGGGGAUUAUAACAUGUGCCCCCUACUUGUCUCUGUGAUAAUCCUCCAUUAUUUGUAA